rnacentral:rRNA from 1 species
GACGAACGCUGGCGGCGCGCCUAACACAUGCAAGUCGAACGGAGCUGAGAGAAGCUUGCUUUUCUUAGCUUAGUGGCGAACGGGUGAGUAACGCGUGAGUAACCUGCCCUGGAGUGGGGGACAACAGUUGGAAACGACUGCUAAUACCGCAUAAGCCCACGAUCCGGCAUCGGAUUGAGGGAAAAGGAUUUAUUCGCUUCAGGAUGGACUCGCGUCCAAUUAGCUAGUUGGUGAGGUAACGGCCCACCAAGGCGACGAUUGGUAGCCGGACUGAGAGGUUGAACGGCCACAUUGGGACUGAGACACGGCCCAGACUCCUACGGGGGGCAGCAGUGGGGGAUAUUGCACAAUGUGGGAAACCCUGAUGCAGCGACGCCGCGUGGAGGAAGAAGGUUUUCGGAUUGUAAACUCCUGUCGUUAGGGACGAUAAUGACGGUACCUAACAAGAAAGCACCGGCUAACUACGUG